GAUGAACGCUGGCGGCGUGCCUAAUACAUGCAAGUCGAGCGAAUGGAUUAAGAGCUUGCUCUUAUGAAGUUAGCGGCGGACGGGUGAGUAACACGUGGGUAACCUGCCCAUAAGACUGGGAUAACUCCGGGAAACCGGGGCUAAUACCGGAUAACAUUUUGAACCGCAUGGUUCGAAAUUGAAAGGCGGCUUCGGCUGUCACUUAUGGAUGGACCCGCGUCGCAUUAGCUAGUUGGUGAGGUAACGGCUCACCAAGGCAACGAUGCGUAGCCGACCUGGGAGGGUGAUCGGCCACACUGGGACUGAGACACGGCCCAGACUCCUACGGGAGGCGGCAGUAGGGAAUCUUCCGCAAUGGACGAAAGUCUGACGGAGCAACGCCGCGUGAGUGAUGAAGGCUUUCGGGUCGUAAAACUCUGUUGUUAGGGAAGAACAAGUGCUAGUUGAAUAAGCUGGUACCUUGACGGUACCUAACCAGAAAGCCACGGCUAACUACGUGCCAGCCGCCGCGGUAA
rnacentral:rRNA from 1 species